rnacentral:rRNA from 1 species
UAUGUGAUCGUCUCUCGCAUAUCAAUAAGCGGAGGAAAAGAAACUAACAAGGAUUCCCCUAGUAACGGCGAGUGAAGCGGGAAGAGCUCAAAUUUGAAAUCUUAAAGGGUUUCCCUUUACGAAUUGUAGUUUAAAGAAGUGUUUUCUGUUGAGGUUUUGGUAAAAGUUCUUUGGAAUAGGACAUCAUAGAGGGUGAGAAUCCCGUAUUUGACCUUUACUUUCAACUUUGUGAUACACUUUCAAAGAGUCGGAUUGUCUGGGAAUGCAGUCCAAAAUGGGUGGUAAAUUUCAUCUAAAGCUAAAUAUUGGCGAGAGACCGAUAGCGAACAAGUACCGUGAGGGAAAGAUGAAAAGAACUUUGAAAAGAGAGUUAAACAGUACGUGAAAUUGUCAAAAGGGAAGCGUUUGACACCAGUGUUGUUUUUCUGAAAAUCAAUUAAAGAACUGUUUAUGCUAAGCUGUUUAGACUUUAUCAGCUAAUCUGUUUAGUUUUGAGCUUUUCUUUAAUGCACUUUUCAGUUAACAAGUCAACAUCAAUUUCUUUUGCUGUAAAAAAGCUUGAGGAAGGUGGCUUGAGAUUCGUCUUAAGUGUUUAUAGCCUCUUGCCUAUGCAGUCGGAGAGAUUGAGGUCUGCAGCGUAGAUCCUUCGGGGCUAAAUGCAUUUGUGCUAAGUUAUAGCAUUUUAUAGACAACUUGUUGACUAUGAUUUGUCUUGUAGCUUACUCGCUUAUGUUAUUUUACCUACGCUUAGGAUGUUGAUCUGUAGUGCGUGCGC